GGACACUGAACAAGAAAAAGCCUACCUCAUGUCUUGAGUCGCCUCCAGUCCAGCCCAUCAAGGUGUUUCAGGCUCUGGAGCAGUGCAGUCUGGGUCUGUGGCUGCAAGUCACCUGUUCCAGCACAUCCACUGCUAUAAUUAUUACUAGUCCUCCCAAUAUUACUAGAAUUAUCAAUGCCAUUAUAAAUUUUCUGUAGGGUUAGGGUUAUAUUUCUGUGUGUAUAUUGUGUUGGCUACUUCGAGGCAGAUGGCUGCCCACCUUGAGUCAUGGUUCUGUAUAAGGUUUCUCUACCUCCUAAAAGGGAGUAUUUCCUUGCCUGUGUUGCCAAUUGCUUGCUCACUGUGGGAACUUUUGGAUCUGUUAUUAGAGUAGAGUAUAGUCUAAUCCUGCUCUGUAUGAAAAGUGCAAUAGGAUAACUUCUGAAUUGGUGUUAUAUAAAAAAAAUUGAAUUGAAGUAAGCAACAAUCAGAAAAACAUUGCCAUUGACCAUGACACUAAGAACAGUGUGCUAAAAAGUAAAGGGUAAGAAGUAUGCAAAAAUGUAAUAAAAUGUGUUGUACUUAAAACUUUGAAAAGCAAUACACCACGUACCACUGUACAUAUGACUGAGAAUCCACACAGGGCCAGUGUUUUACAGUAUUUUUAUUUUGUCGGAAUGAGCGCUUCUGUUAUGUACAAUAGUGGACAGAAACAAAUGUUUCAGAAAUUAUAAAUAUACUGUUACUCCAAAC